CCGUGGGCGCUGGAGAACUGAGGGGGGCUGCUCCUAGUACGAGAGGACCGGAGUGGACGCAUCACUGGUGUUCGGGUUGUCAUGCCAAUGGCACUGCCCGGUAGCUAAAUGCGGAAGAGAUAAGUGCUGAAAGCAUCUAAGCACGAAACUUGCCCCGAGAUGAGUUCUCCCUGACUCCUUGAGAGUCCUGAAGGAACGUUGAAGACGACGACGUUGAUAGGCCGGGUGUGUAAGCGCAGCGAUGCGUUGAGCUAACCGGUACUAAUGAACCGUGAGGCUUAACCUUACAACGCCGAAGCUGUU
rnacentral:rRNA from 1 species